rnacentral:ncRNA from 2 species
UCUUUACGACAGGGGAGCGCCCCAGCGCUGAGAGUGCGGCCCGCGACACGCGUGCAGCCGCAGACCCUCGAACCUGCUCCGGUUAGCACCGGCGAAGGGAGUCGGUAAUUCUCAGGA